GCUGGAUUUUGGUUGAUUUUUAUGUGAAUGUUCUUAAAGAAAAUAUAGGAAGUUUUACUGAUAUAUAUGGAAUCACUUUAGAUAUUUUUAGGAUUUUUUUUGAAGAUUUUUACUCAUUUUUAAAAAAUUUUCUUGCCAAAUUUGGGGGAUUUUUGAAAAAAAAAAAUAAAACUUUUAAGGGAAACUUUUCAGGACUUAUUGGAAUUUUCUUCCUGAAGGUUUUGCAAAUUUUCAGAAAUUUGGGGAAUUUUUUUGCUGAAUUUUUGGGGUUUUUUUUCAGACAGGGAAUCAAAAUUUUUUUCGUGCCCGUAAAUGAGGACAACAGGAGGGUUAAGGAUUGCUGUAAAGGGUUGUUUUUUUCUGUUUUUCUUGCUUCUAGAUACUAAUUGGUGUGAAGAAAACAAUGCCUUUUAUGGCUACUAGCACGUUCUUGGGUUCUGAGAGUUAAUUGGGUGCUACAGCAGGUAGGGUUGUCAUUUGAGCUACUAUUUGUACCAUUAGUGCAGUUUUCACCAAUGAAAAGUUGGUGUGUAUUUUAGAGUUCUUGUUUUGUUAAUAUAUGGGGGGCACAGAGGGAAAGAAAAUGUUACACAAAUGGUUUAUUUUAUAAAUGAGACACUUAGAAUAAAGUGAUUUUAAUGAAAUAACAUUUAAAACUUACAUUUAAUUGUUUUAAUAACACGUGCCACGUGAUACGAUCAACAACAAUGAAAAUAAUUCUUCAACAGUUUAGCAGUUCUUUGUGUUUUCACAGUUUUAGACUCUGAUAAAUGGUGUCAUUUUGCCUUUUUGGUUUUCAAACCCACAAGUUGGUUUGUAAAUUCAAAUGAUUAAACUGUUCUUACUCAAGUGACACAAGAAUGUUAGUUAAUUGUGUAAUUUUUUUUUCAAUACUGAGAAAACUAUAUAGUUGGUUUUCGCUGGAUUUAUGUCGUCACUUCUUUCAACAUGAUAUAUUAAUAUUUAAACACACAAUCCAGGAUCCAGAUCUAACCAAACAGUUUGAAUUAGAGCUGCAACAGUUAUUUAAUGAGUUGUUAACCAUUAAAUUAAUCACCAGCAGUUUUGAUAAUCUAUUAAUCGGUUUGAGUAUUUUUAAAUAGAGGAAAAAUAAUUACAUUCUCUGAUUGCAGCUUCUUAAAUGUGAAUAUUUUCAGGUUUCUUUCCUCCUCUUUGACAUGAAAAUAGUUAUCUUUGAGUUGUGAGACCAUAAACUCACUCAGAAAAUGUUUACUGAGGAAGCAAAUCAAGUAAGAAAGGCCAUUUUCUUAUAGACGUGUAAUUAUUUUGCAACCAGAGGAGUCGCCCCCUGCUGGAGGGUCUGUGUUUCUGUAGUAGAGGAGGCUACGUUUUUAGGACUACAUUUCUAGGACCUUUUGUUUUUGAGACAGUGCUAAAUAGCCAUGAUAGAUAACAAUUGUAGCAUAAAUGUAAAUCAAAUUAGUUUAAUAUUUAACAGUUUUGAUGUCUUAGCUGGUGAGCAAAGUUAGCAUUAGCUUGCCAAAAGGUGAGUUAAAAUGAUUGUAGUCUUCAGGAACUACAAACAGCCAUCUUUUAGGUAACAAUAGCUUGCUACAAAAAUUAGCCUGUUUAUUGAAGUGCUAUUUUGGCUAGUCCAACUUUGUUUUAAUGGAAAUUAAAAACUGACAAAGUGCUGAAAAGUUGUUUACCCGCAACACAUGUUGUCAGCCAGUCUUUUCAUUUUGGCAAUGAUUUUGUCAUUUUUUUUUUAGCCAAUAUAAGUUGAUUAUGUGGACAUAAAUUAAAUCCAGGACAGAAAUUCAAAAAGUCUUUGGUCCAGUACUAAGAUUAGGCCUAAUUUUAUUUGACCAACUAUGCUUUUUCUUUUUAAAGAUGCACGAAAUGAUUUAAUAAAUACAAUUUUUGUCUAGUUUGAACAGAUGCGCCACAUUCUUUAGUAGUGUUUUGAACUUUAAAUCCACAGCUAAUACUAUUCUGGGUGGAAUAACCCUUUAAAACUGUAAGUUACCUACUUGAGUGAUCAACAAAAACAAAGGUCCUACUACUGCGGUCCUGAAACUGCAGCCAUAUAACGCCUGAAUGUUACCAAGAAUGUAGGUUUAAGGCUUCAUUCUUUAGAUCCGUCUUUUUUUUUAAACACAACUGAUACCUGCAAUAGAGUAAGAACAGGUGACUGCUGAGGUCUGUGAAUAUUCUGCCUCUUUAUUUCUGGCACACAUUCCGUAGUGUCUUAUCAUUUACAGUAAAUAUUUCCGAGCUGCUCUGUAUAUACUAAACAUCACUUGUUCCGACAGCUCAUGCCAGUCUGUGUUGUGAUUCACUGGGAGACUCCAUAAAGGGAAAAUAGGAGCAGUCCAACCUGAAAAAGUCAACCCAAAGUCGCGUUGCGUAAGACGGGGAGUGAAGACUGUUGUUUCAGUUUAUACUUUUGUAACUGAUGCAUGAGGAAGUUUUGUAAGAUGUUGAAGCUCAUGACUGUCAUUCACUUGCGUCAAAGGAAUUAAAUCACCAAAGUGGUCAAACACGUCUUGUUGCGUUUGUUUCUGUUAUUCUUUCUUCUUUCUCUUAUGUCUAUCCAGU
ensembl:lncRNA